GAUGAACGCUAGCGAUAGGCUUAACACAUGCAAGUCGAGGGGCAGCAUAGGAGUAGCAAUACUUUGGUGGCGACCGGCGCACGGGUGAGUAACGCGUAUGCAACCUACCCAUAACUGAGGAAUAACCCGUCGAAAGGCGGCCUAAUACCUCAUAGUCAAUAUGAGCUGCAUGGUUUAUAUUGUAAAGAUUCAUUGGUUAUGGAUGGGCAUGCGUGACAUUAGGUAGUUGGUAGGGUAACGGCCUACCAAGCCUGCGAUGUCUAGGGGUUCUGAGAGGAAGGUCCCCCACACUGGUACUGAGACACGGACCAGACUCCUACGGGAGGCAGCAGUGAGGAAUAUUGGUCAAUGGGCGAGAGCCUGAACCAGCCAAAUCGCGUGAAGGAUGAAGGUAUUAUGUAUUGUAAACUUCUUUUGUCGGGGAAUAAAGUGCGGUACGUGUACCGUUUUGUAUGUACCCGAAGAAUAAGGAUCGGCUAACUCCGUGCCAGCA
rnacentral:rRNA from 1 species